rnacentral:rRNA from 1 species
UACGGGGGGAGCAAGCGUUGUUCGGAUUUACUGGGCGUAAAGGGUGCGUAGGCGGCGCGGUAAGUCGGGUGUGAAAUCUCGGGGCUUAACUCCGAAACUGCAUUCGAUACUGCCGUGCUUGAGGACUGGAGAGGAGACUGGAAUUUACGGUGUAGCGGUGAAAUGCGUAGAUAUCGUAAGGAAGACCAGUGGCGAAGGCGGGUCUCUGGACAGUUCCUGACGCUGAGGCACGAAGGUCAGGGGAGCAGACGGG